AGUCCGUGUGGUGUAUCAAUCAUCACACUGUUUGACAACAUCUCGACACUGCGCCCCCCCCCCUACAACGAUCCAAAGGACCACCUUUUUCCUUGAUGCAAGCCUGGAUCAGAAUCUUAGAAAGCAAAUCUCGGUUACACGCUCACAAAUAAUGCAAUUUUCCUGUUACCAUAGGAAGGAAGUACGCAUAUAUAUGAAUCAUGUGUAACAACAAACAAAGCCAACCGAACUAGUACUACAUAUUCAUAUGGAGAAGAAAAAAGGAACACGCUCGAGCUAGCGGCAGCACGUAGAAACAAAGCCCGUGCCCCUGAUGGGUGAAUAUAUAAGGUGUGCUGUUAGCUUUGUUUCUUUAUGGAUCUCUCAAAAGAAAAGAAAAAAAACUUUGUUUCUUUAUGGUGGAGCACAUCAGCGUCAGUGUCCAUGACCCAGAUAUGUACGCACACGAAAGGCCAUCUGCCCUCGCUAGCUGCUGCUGCUGCUAGUGUCAAAAUCACCAACCGCAACGGCAGCAGCAAAUCCCAUGGAAUCUCGUCACAGUCUUUUCCGGACCCCUCACUGUUUGCUCAAGUCGAGACAGACGUAGCAACCCAGCACUAGCCACGGUUCGCUAGCUCCCCCGCCGGGUUUUCUGGUUGGCGCGUGCGCUAGCUACGAGCCUCCGUGCAGCGAGACGAGAUCGAUCUCAUUUGGCGUUUGAAAAACUCUGGCGCGGGCGACACAUAACGGCUUGACUGGACGUGUCAAGCGGGCUUCUUUCCGACCUGAUUUUACUGAGGUUGAAGUCUUCGUAGGAAAGAGUUUUUGCUUACUGCUGCAGGCCGAGAUGAUCAAUAAAGUGAAAACAAAUGAGCCAUAUCGAUCAUGUUUAUUGGUAACCAAAUAGAAGCUUUAUCUGGACUAACUAAGAGUGCACGUAUGUACAUAACCACCUAGAAAAAUAGAAAAAAGGGCGCAGAUUACCAAACAUUCAUAACAGAAAAAAAAAAUUAGCGCGAGGUCGCAAGGAGAAGCGGAAAGUUACAUAUAGCACGGCAGAAGUCGCUACUACAUAUGUAUGUAUUACCGACGGGUCUUGAACCUUCACAUAUGACGCGUGAGGUAUUAGUCAUUAAUUUGUCAUGCUUGGUGACUCCGGUCAACACUUGUGACCACUCACCGUUGACGGGCCUGACGAGAAAUGUCCGUAGGCGGUGACCUUUUCAGUGCAGAACUGGGAGUCCGUAGUGUUUGAACUUCUGAGUCGGACAAGUUCUCUGGCUUCCUCCGAUAGAUUUACGUCGGAACCGUCGAAAGAAAUUGGGUUUCUCUCGAUUGU
rnacentral:lncRNA from 1 species